UUAAGCGACUAAGCGUACACGGUGGAUGCCCUGGCAGUCAGAGGCGAUGAAGGACGUGCUAAUCUGCGAUAAGCGUCGGUAAGGUGAUAUGAACCGUUAUAACCGGCGAUUUCCGAAUGGGGAAACCCAGUGUGUUUCGACACACUAUCAUUAACUGAAUCCAUAGGUUAAUGAGGCGAACCGGGGGAACUGAAACAUCUAAGUACCCCGAGGAAAAGAAAUCAACCGAGAUUCCCCCAGUAGCGGCGAGCGAACGGGGAGCAGCCCAGAGCCUGAAUCAGUGUGUGUGUUAGUGGAAGCGUCUGGAAAGGCGCGCGAUACAGGGUGACAGCCCCGUACACAAAAAUGCACAUGCUGUGAGCUCGAUGAGUAGGGCGGGACACGUGGUAUCCUGUCUGAAUAUGGGGGGACCAUCCUCCAAGGCUAAAUACUCCUGACUGACCGAUAGUGAACCAGUACCGUGAGGGAAAGGCGAAAAGAACCCCGGCGAGGGGAGUGAAAAAGAACCUGAAACCGUGUACGUACAAGCAGUGGGAGCCUCUUUAUGGGGUGACUGCGUACCUUUUGUAUAAUGGGUCAGCGACUUAUAUUCUGUAGCAAGGUUAACCGAAUAGGGGAGCCGAAGGGAAACCGAGUCUUAACUGGGCGUUAAGUUGCAGGGUAUAGACCCGAAACCCGGUGAUCUAGCCAUGGGCAGGUUGAAGGUUGGGUAACACUAACUGGAGGACCGAACCGACUAAUGUUGAAAAAUUAGCGGAUGACUUGUGGCUGGGGGUGAAAGGCCAAUCAAACCGGGAGAUAGCUGGUUCUCCCCGAAAGCUAUUUAGGUAGCGCCUCGUGAAUUCAUCUCCGGGGGUAGAGCACUGUUUCGGCAAGGGGGUCAUCCCGACUUACCAACCCGAUGCAAACUGCGAAUACCGGAGAAUGUUAUCACGGGAGACACACGGCGGGUGCUAACGUCCGUCGUGAAGAGGGAAACAACCCAGACCGCCAGCUAAGGUCCCAAAGUCAUGGUUAAGUGGGAAACGAUGUGGGAAGGCCCAGACAGCCAGGAUGUUGGCUUAGAAGCAGCCAUCAUUUAAAGAAAGCGUAAUAGCUCACUGGUCGAGUCGGCCUGCGCGGAAGAUGUAACGGGGCUAAACCAUGCACCGAAGCUGCGGCAGCGACGCUUAUGCGUUGUUGGGUAGGGGAGCGUUCUGUAAGCCUGUGAAGGUGUGCUGUGAGGCAUGCUGGAGGUAUCAGAAGUGCGAAUGCUGACAUAAGUAACGAUAAAGCGGGUGAAAAGCCCGCUCGCCGGAAGACCAAGGGUUCCUGUCCAACGUUAAUCGGGGCAGGGUGAGUCGACCCCUAAGGCGAGGCCGAAAGGCGUAGUCGAUGGGAAACAGGUUAAUAUUCCUGUACUUGGUGUUACUGCGAAGGGGGGACGGAGAAGGCUAUGUUGGCCGGGCGACGGUUGUCCCGGUUUAAGCGUGUAGGCUGAUUUUCCAGGCAAAUCCGGAAAAUCAAGGCUGAGGCGUGAUGACGAGGCACUACGGUGCUGAAGCAACAAAUGCCCUGCUUCCAGGAAAAGCCUCUAAGCAUCAGGUAACAUCAAAUCGUACCCCAAACCGACACAGGUGGUCAGGUAGAGAAUACCAAGGCGCUUGAGAGAACUCGGGUGAAGGAACUAGGCAAAAUGGUGCCGUAACUUCGGGAGAAGGCACGCUGAUAUGUAGGUGAAGUCCCUCGCGGAUGGAGCUGAAAUCAGUCGAAGAUACCAGCUGGCUGCAACUGUUUAUUAAAAACACAGCACUGUGCAAACACGAAAGUGGACGUAUACGGUGUGACGCCUGCCCGGUGCCGGAAGGUUAAUUGAUGGGGUCAGCGCAAGCGAAGCUCUUGAUCGAAGCCCCGGUAAACGGCGGCCGUAACUAUAACGGUCCUAAGGUAGCGAAAUUCCUUGUCGGGUAAGUUCCGACCUGCACGAAUGGCGUAAUGAUGGCCAGGCUGUCUCCACCCGAGACUCAGUGAAAUUGAACUCGCUGUGAAGAUGCAGUGUACCCGCGGCAAGACGGAAAGACCCCGUGAACCUUUACUAUAGCUUGACACUGAACAUUGAGCCUUGAUGUGUAGGAUAGGUGGGAGGCUUAGAAGUGUGGACGCCAGUCUGCAUGGAGCCGGCCUUGAAAUACCACCCUUUAAUGUUUGAUGUUCUAACGUGGACCCGUAAUCCGGGUUGCGGACAGUGUCUGGUGGGUAGUUUGACUGGGGCGGUCUCCUCCUAAAGAGUAACGGAGGAGCACGAAGGUUGGCUAAUCCUGGUCGGACAUCAGGAGGUUAGUGCAAUGGCAUAAGCCAGCUUGACUGCGAGCGUGACGGCGCGAGCAGGUGCGAAAGCAGGUCAUAGUGAUCCGGUGGUUCUGAAUGGAAGGGCCAUCGCUCAACGGAUAAAAGGUACUCCGGGGAUAACAGGCUGAUACCGCCCAAGAGUUCAUAUCGACGGCGGUGUUUGGCACCUCGAUGUCGGCUCAUCACAUCCUGGGGCUGAAGUAGGUCCCAAGGGUAUGGCUGUUCGCCAUUUAAAGUGGUACGCGAGCUGGGUUUAGAACGUCGUGAGACAGUUCGGUCCCUAUCUGCCGUGGGCGCUGGAGAACUGAGGGGGCUGCUCCUAGUACGAGAGGACCGGAGUGGACGCAUCACUGGUGUUCGGGUUGUCAUGCCAAUGGCACUGCCCGGUAGCUAAAUGCGGAAGAGAUAAGUGCUGAAAGCAUCUAAGCACGAAACUUGCCCCGAGAUGAGUUCUCCCUGACUCCUUGAGAGUCCUGAAGGAACGUUGAAGACGACGACGUUGAUAGGCCGGGUGUGUAAGCGCAGCGAUGCGUUGAGCUAACCGGUACUAAUGAACCGUGAGGCUUAACCUU
rnacentral:rRNA from 1 species